rnacentral:rRNA from 1 species
GAUGAACGCUGGCGGCGUGCCUAACACAUGCAAGUCGAACGGAGUCCAGCCUUUAAGACCUUCGGGUCAAAGAGGGGAAGACUGAGUGGCGGACGGGUGAGUAACACGUGGGCAACCUGGCUCAUAGAGGGGGAUAACAGAGAGAAAUUUCUGCUAAUACCGCAUAAGCACACACUGCCGCAUGGCAGAGGGUGAAAAGAGAAUCGCUAUGAGAUGGACCCGCGUCUGAUUAGCCAGUUGGCAGGGUAAGAGCCCACCAAAGCGACGAUCAGUAGCCGAUCUGAGAGGAUGAACGGCCACAUUGGGACUGAGACACGGCCCAAACUCCUACGGGAGGCAGCAGUGGGGGAUAUUGCACAAUGGGGGGAACCCUGAUGCAGCGACGCCGCGUGAGUGAAGAAGUAUUUCGGUAUGUAAAGCUCUAUCAGCAGGGAAGAUAAUGACAGUACCUGAAUAAGAGGCCCCGGCUAACUACGUG